UUAAAACUCAGAACCAAGGGGGCAGAGUUUACGAUCGCUUCACAGCAUGGAGACAACAGACUUGUGAAAAGACGGCUAGAGGUGACAGAUGAAGGCAAUUAAAACUGUUUUUCAACACUUACCGAGGACGCAGACCUAAAGGUGUGAUCAUCUCUCAAGAUUUGGAAAGGAUUUCUGCAGGAGAACCUUUUGGAAACACAAAUAAAUCUAACAAUUUAGACCA